rnacentral:RNase_P_RNA from 1 species
CGAGUCAGUCGGGCGGCCGCGUCGCAGGGAACCACCGCACAGCGAUAGGCCCUGCGCCGAGGAAAGUCCGGACUCCGCAGAGCAGGACGGUUGUUAACGGCAACCCGGGGCGACCCGCGGGACAGUGCCACAGAAAACAAACCGCCCACCACGGUGGGUAAGGGUGAAACGGUGCGGUAAGAGCGCACCAGCACCCUGGGUGACCAGGGUGGCUAGGUAAACCCCGUCCGGAGCAAGGCAGAAGGCCUCACCCUGUGGUGGGGCUGCGCGAAUGUUUGAGGGCUGCUCGCCCGAGUUCGCGGGUGAGCCGCAUGAGGCACCCGGCGACGGUGUGUCCAGACGGAUGGUCGCCACUCCAGCGUUUCGACGCUGGGGGACAGAAUCCGGCUUAGAGACUGGCUCGUCCC